rnacentral:rRNA from 1 species
AGUGAAGUAAUUGAGGGCAUGUGGGAGAUGCCGGGGCAGUCGGCGGCGAUGAAAGACGUUAGAGUCUGCGAAAAGCUCCGGGGAGGCGGCAAAUAUCCUUUGAGCCGGAGAUUUCUGAAUGGGGGACCCCACCUACUUUAAGGUAGGUAUUGCAACAUGAAUACAUAGUGUUGCACGGCGAACGAGGGGAAGUGAAA